rnacentral:rRNA from 1 species
AUUGAACGCUGGCGGCAGGCCUAACACAUGCAAGUCGAGCGAGCGGCGGACGGGUGAGUAAUGUCUGGGGAACUGCCUGAUGGAGGGGGAUAACUACUGGAAACGGUAGCUAAUACCGCAUACCAUCAGAUGAACCCAUAUGGGAUUAGCUAGUAGGUGGGGUAACGGCUCACCUAGGCGACGAUCCCUAGCUGGUCUGAGAGGAUGACCAGCCACACUGGGACUGAGACACGGCCCAGACUCCUACGGGAGGCAGCAGUGGGGAAUAUUGCACAAUGGGCGCAAGCCUGAUGCAGCCAUGCCGCGUGUAUGAAGAAGGCCUUCGGGUUGUAAAGUACUUUCAGUGGGGAGGCGUUACCGGCAGAAGAAGCACCGGCUAACUCCGUGCCAGCAGCCGCGGUAAUUC